GAUGAACGCUGGCGGCGUGCCUAACACAUGCAAGUCGAGCGAAUGGAUUAAGAGCUUGCUCUUAUGAAGUUAGCGGCGGACGGGUGAGUAACACGUGGGUAACCUGCCCAUAAGACUGGGAUAACUCCGGGAAACCGGGGCUAAUACCGGAUAACAUUUUGAACCGCAUGGUUCGAAAUUGAAAGGCGGCUUCGGCUGUCACUUAUGGAUGGACCCGCGUCGCAUUAGCUAGUUGGUGGGGUAACGGCUCACCAAGGCAACGAUGCGUAGCCGACCUGAGAGGGUGAUCGGCCGCACUGGGACUGAGACACGGCCAAGACUCCUACGGGAGGCAGCAGUAGGGAAUCUUCCGCAAUGGACGAAAGUCUGACGGAGCAACGCCGCGUGAGUGAUGAAGGCUUUCGGGUCGUAAAACUCUGUUGUUAGGGAAGAACAAGUGCUAGUUGAAUAAGCUGGCACCUUGACGGUACCUAACCAGAAAGCCACGGCUAACUACGUGCCAGCCGCCGCAGUAA
rnacentral:rRNA from 1 species